rnacentral:rRNA from 1 species
UACGUAGGGGCCGAGCGUUGUCCGGAAUUACUGGGCGUAAAGCGCGCGCAGGCGGCUCUUCAAGCCUGACGUGAAAGCCCCCGGCUCAACCGGGGAGGGUCGUCGGGGACUGAGGAGUUUGAGGGCGGUAGGGGCCGGUGGAAUUCUGGGUGUAGUGGUGAAAUGCGUAGAGAUCCAGAGGAACACCAGUGGCGAAGGCGGCCGGCUGGGCCGACCCUGACGCUGAGGCGCGAAGGCGUGGGGAGCGAACGGG